rnacentral:tRNA from 1 species
UGAAAUAUAGUGUAAUGGUAGCACAAAGGAUUUUGGUUCCUUUAGUUCAGGUUCGAAUCCUGAUAUUUCAA